GCCACGCCAGCCCCACGCCGUCCCAGGCGGUGCCAGCCCCAUGCCGCGCCGGCCCCACGCUGCCACACGCCGCCGGCCAGGCUGGCUCAGCACGGCCAGCGCUCCAGCGAAGACCUCUGCGACACCCACCGGGAGCUGCAGUGCAGCACUGCGUGUAUUUGACAAGCUGAGUUCGACACUCAGUGUGCAGAGUGUCAGUUUGUCAAAUACCCCAAGUGAGGCAUCUGCUGAGCGACGCGGCGGCACGCCCGGGGGGACCGGCUCCUUCCUCCCACUCGGGCAGGAGCCCUUCUGUCUGCAUUCUGUGCCUCUCCAAAAACCCAGCGAGGUACCGAACAACCCGUCCCAUCGUCACCAAAUGCCUGACUCCGAUCCUGUGCUGUCAGGUUUCCCUUCCACCCCAAUUUCGGAAGCGCCUAUCGGGGUACUCCUCCUAAUGGCAAAUCUGUACAGACGUGGUGCUGGUACGGUUCCUCUGUGUUGUGGAGGCAGAGAAUUGGGCCCUGGCUCCUUGUUCUUUGCAGCCAGAGACAAUGCUGUUCUCUUCCACAGCAUUAACUACCCAGCUGUUAAUUAACAGUCAUGCUCAGUUAACAAGGAGUCUGGCAACUAUAGUCACAACAUAAGACGGGUAAGGGCAGCAUUAUCCAUAAUACAGAAUCUUUUCUUUGGCCACGUAGGAAUCCUUUUUUAUUUGGAUUACAAACUAAUGAGGCUGCUGAUGAAUUCCCCUCUAUCCCAUCAGGCAGUGAAAAAUGCACGUUUGCUCAAUCCAUUUUUAAAUUAGGCUGUGGAGUCCCUGCCUUCUCCUUGAAGCCUUGCUGUUUGGAGAGGACUCCUCGGUUUUGGGUGGUUAUUCCUAGUCAGCACUUGCAGCACGGUUGCCUAUUGCUUUUCUGCUAUUUAGUUAAAGUCAUUCCCGCUAAAUCAUCCCACUUGAAGACCUAAUGACUGGUAAGCAUUUUUAACAGCUGACUGACAGCACGUCAGAUCUGCAGGGCUCUCAGGGUGGGGGGAAUGACCGAGGGUGAGUGCACAGCCCAGUUUGGCAAAUCAAGCUCUCUGAAAGCAUUUGAUAUUGAAAACUCAGAAACUACAAAAAAAAUCCCAAGACCCUUCUGACUCAUUUUAGGACAGUUCCACCAGCAAAUUUUGCAAUAUUUGAGAAUAUUGGUAAACUUUAAUGCUUUUUUUUGUUGCAGCUAUUUCUUGGUAAAUAUUUUGAAGAAGUUGGAUCUUGUACAAAGCUGGGGCCAGUGGAUGUAUAUCACCACCUAAGUAAAUGGUGUUCUGCUUUUUGAAUAGGUCCUAGUGGUGGGGCUUGUUGUGCGCUCUGGACAAACACAGUCCCAACUCCUUAUGACUCAGACUCCCGUGGUCUCUCUCGAGCACCUUCUCAUGACUCACGGACGUCACCCUGAUCUUUAUCACGGAGCUUAGCUUCAAACGAGAACAAAGUCUAUGAUUUCAGGGUUGGUUUGGUCCCCAGUGGAUCCUUAAUGCAGCAGGCAGCUGAGUCAGCCCCAACCCUUUCUGCCAUCACAGACCUCAAGGUUUCAACAAACCAAAGCUCUUCUGCACCACGGCUACCCAAGAAUUCAUUUAUGCUUCAUGACAUUGUCUUCUCAUGCAUUUCAAGCUUUUACUUUCAGUAGAUUUUGCCCUUCCACUUUUUAAGUAUCUCCCCCCUCCCUCCAGUUCCUUCUAGAUGACUGGGGGGAAGGGGAAGAAGGUUAACCCCUUCCUCUCUUACAAGAACAAAUACCAAAAUAACAUGGGACAGACUUCUCCCAGACUUCCUCUCCCUUCUCCCUGCAGAGAACGGCAGGUUCAGAAGGGCUCUGACGGCCGGGGCAAACCCAGCAAGCGUGAAAGCCGACAGGUCCCCACUGCUGUAUGUGCGCUUCAGUUGCUCAGAAGCAAGGGGAGCCGCAAGUCUCAUGACAUUGUGCUGGCCACCAGAAAUAGCGCGGGUUUUGGAGGCAGUGUAGUUUCGGAGCGGAAGCUGAGGUUUCCCUUCUGUGCUGGAGCAGAGCUGGCACUCGGCAGAUGACUCAUGUCACCGGGCGAGGGACCAGCGCAAGGGAAGGAGAAAUUCCUUUGCUUGACGGUGAUACAACACAGCACAGCCCUCCCUGACCGUCAGAAGAAAAAAAUGUUCUGUUUCCAACAGGUUUGACUGCCAAACGCAACAAAAAUAUAAAU